AACGAACGCUGGCGGCAUGCCUAGCACAUGCAAGUCGAACGAACCCUUCGGGGUUAGUGGCGCACGGGUGCGUAACGCGUGGGAAUUUGCCCUUUGCUUCGGAAUAACAGUUAGAAAUGACUGCUAAUACCGGAUGAUGUCUUCGGAUCAAAGAUUUAUCGGCAAGGGAUGAGCCCGCGUAGGAUUAGGUAGUUGGUGGGGUAAAGGCCUACCAAGCCGACGAUCCUUAGCUGGUCUGAGAGGAUGAUCAGCCACACUGGGACUGAGACACGGCCCAGACUCCUACGGGAGGCAGCAGUGGGGAAUAUUGGACAAUGGGCGCAAGCCUGAUCCAGCAAUGCCGCGUGAGUGAUGAAGGCCUUCGGGUCGUAAAGCUCUUUUACCAGGGAUGAUAAUGACAGUACCUGGAGAAUAAGCUCCGGCUAACUCCGUGCCAGCAGCCGCCGUAAAAC
rnacentral:rRNA from 1 species